CCCGCCGGCGACCGGCGCACGGGUGAGUAACACGUAUGCAACCUGGCCGCCACAGGGGGAUAACCCGCGGAAACGCGGCCUAAUACCCCGUGACGCCACCGGAGGGCAUCCUCCGGUGGCCAAAGGAGCGAAUCCGGUGGCGGAUGGGCAUGCGGCGCAUUAGCUAGACGGCGGGGUGACGGCCCACCGUGGCGACGAUGCGUAGGGGUUCUGAGAGGAAGGCCCCCCACACUGGGACUGAGACACGGCCCAGACUCCUACGGGAGGCAGCAG
rnacentral:rRNA from 1 species